rnacentral:lncRNA from 1 species
CAAUAUUUGAUGUCCGAUUCUCAUUUUAUAAUGUAUUUGUAGACCUAUAACACCAAGCUCAUAAGUAGGGAGAGUGGGGUUAUUUGGGUCAUGGGGUUCAAUGGGUCACAUGGGAUAUUUUCCUGCCUAAUAGGGAUUUUUCGGUUUUGCCGGCGUAGGAAGUUGGCAUUACUUGUAUUCUACCAAAAAAAUGUGCAGUGACGUCAUCGGCAUUCUUUGUUUUUGUUUUGGAGCCACAUUAACCGCGGACCCGUCGAAAUCGGCUAAAAACGGCGAUUUUUCUUCCGAGAAGUUUGUGCACCUUGAGAUCAUGAUCAGAAAGUUCACGAGGAAGAGGGAACAACCUAGGAUUCCUCCAACGCGGAUUCUAUAACGCCGUGCUGGUCUCUUUUGAUUUUAAUUUCUUUUUUUUGGUACUUUUUUAGCGUUUAAUAAUGGUGUUGUGAGACACCGAAACGUACUGUGUAUAAGUAUUUAGGUAUAAGUAUUUAGGUAUUUUGGUAAGUAUUUAGGUAGUAUUUAGGCAUUUAGGUAUAAGUAUUUAGGUAUUUAGGUAUUUAGGUAUUUUUGUUUCCACUAUUUCCUUCUUUUAGUUUUUAAGUUUCGACCAAAAGUAAAAAUGUUCCAUACAAAAAUAUGUUUUGCGCCGAGGCAUUUAUUUAUAUACCUAUUUAGCAUGUUACCUAUGAAAAUAAAUUGGUGCGCAUUUACAUUAUCUACUUCUCCUUUAUAAGGUUACCCAUGUUCCUGUGGCUCUACAUUAAUUUGUGUUCAUUAAAUGUAUUUCUUUAAUUUUGGUUCUUAUAUUUUAGCAAAGACAACAGCCUCUUAAAUAUUUAUUUUGGUGGUCAUGAAAUGGAAGGUUGAAAAAAAAAUAAUGUCUUCUAGAAAAUAUUCAAAACUUCCCAAAAUUAUUAUUUAAGCCUCUAAAAGAAAUUUCAUAAUUUUUGCCAUAACAGAGGGUUCUUAAUGCCUUGUUAUUCUAAAUUUCUAAAUAUUCUUAAGCUCACCUUUUUUUCAACACUCCUCUCAUACCAACCAAAAGUUAUCAUUAACCAUUUAUCCAUUUAUUUAUCCAUUCACUAGCUUACCUACAGGUGACAUCAUUCAUUAAACAAAUUGGUACCUACCAAAAAUAAAAAAAAAAUAAAUUGAUCAUCGAUUCAUUGUAUACCAUACAUCGAAGGAUAAAAAGAGGAACCCCCCCCCCCUUCAAUAUUUCUCAUUUAUUUACUUUUUUUUAAAGUGCAGCCUUGAUAAAUUUAAAGAUAUAUCUCAUAGAUGUUUGACAUUAUCUAUUUUAAGUUGAUUAAUAUGUGUCCAGAAUGAUUUACAGUAGGUGACUCAGUUAACCCCAGG